rnacentral:misc_RNA from 1 species
GAAAUGCGAUAAGUAAUGUGAAUUGCAGAAUUCAGUGAAUCAUCGAAUCUUUGAACGCACAUUGCGCCCGCCAGCACUCUGGCGGGCAUGCCUGUUCGAGCGUCAUUUCAACCAUCAGAACCCCUUGCGGGAUCUGGCGUUGGGGAUUGGCAUCCAGCCAGCCCCGAAAUCUAGUGGCGGUCCCUCCGCGACCUCCCCUGUGCAGUAGCGAUACCUCGCAGCGGGACAGCGGUCUGACCACGCCGUAAAACCCCCAACUUCUCAAGGUUGACCUCGAAUCAGGUAGGAAUACCCACUGAACUUAAGC